UACGUAGGGGGCUAGCGUUGUCCGGAAUCAUUGGGCGUAAAGCGCGCGUAGGCGGCCCGGUAAGUCCGCUCUGAAAGUCCAGGGCUCAACCCUGGAAAGCGGGUGGAUACUGCCGGGCUAGAAUCCGGAAGAGGCGAGUGGAAUUCCUGGUGUAGCGGUGGAAUGCGCAGAUAUCAGGAGGAACACCAAUAGCGAAGGCAGCUCGCUGGGA
rnacentral:rRNA from 1 species